AGGAAUAAGUGACCGCAGAAUAGGUGAGCUACUUUGCAUGAUCCAGCUGCUGCUUGCACAGCAUCAGUUUUGGUAUCUGACCAUCCUGCUUUUGGUUCAUUGUCAAUUAAGUAUAAGUAAGAAUUUAAAGAUAAAAGAAUUAAUUAUCAGAUUUACCAUAUUGAUAAAAUGAUGGGUCAAUGAAGCUAUCUGUUGAUCUGCAUAGCUCUUGGUUGUGUCAAUCUAGAUUUCACAAAAUACACUCACGGACAAGUUAUUUUGCAUAAACAGUUAGGUUACGUACACAGGAAUAAUGAAUAUUUUUAGUGUUGUACCCAAGUGCUUGAGCAUUGUUGUGCUUUUAAUAAUUCUAUCUUCAGUUUGACACCUG
rnacentral:misc_RNA from 1 species